ACAUGCAAGUCGUGCGAGAAAGUAUCUUCGGAUAUGAGUAUAGCGGCGGACGGGUGAGUAACGCGUAGGAAUCUACCUAGUAGAAGGGGAUAGCCCGAGGAAACUCGGAUUAAUACCGUAUACCUCCUUUGGGAGAAAGAGGGCCUCUCUUGAUGCUCUCGCUAUUAGAUGAGCCUGCGUAAGAUUAGCUUGUUGGUGAGGUAAUGGCUCACCAAGGCUACGAUCUUUAGCUGGUCUGAGAGGACGAUCAGCCACAUUGGGACUGAGACACGGCCCAGACUCCUACGGGAGGCAGCAGUGGGGAAUAUUGGACAAUGGGCGCAAGCCUGAUCCAGCCAUACCGCGUGUGUGAAGAAGGCCCUAGGGUUGUAAAGCACUUUAAGCAGGGAGAAAAAGCUAUAAGUUAAUACCUUAUAGCCCUGAUGUUACCUGCAGAAUAAGCACCGG
rnacentral:rRNA from 1 species